rnacentral:rRNA from 1 species
UCCGGGCGCGCGGAAUUCAGAACCGACGAGCAUACUUCGUCGAUUCGAUAUUUCCGCCGCCGACCCGUAGAACCGGGUGCGGACGUCGCGACCCGUUCGUCGUCGAUCUGACGAGUCGCGUUUCGAGUUCGAGGCGCGCGCGUUUCGUUCGCGUGCGCGCGCGUCGCGAUGGCGCGAUACUUGGAUCGGCGUGCGCGGACGGUAGCUGUGAACGCGCGGGUAAUCGACGCCGACGAUAUACGGUCGUAUUGCUGCGACGGUAUAUGUUCGAGCGUCGACGCCGGUCAGCGACGAAUUUUCGGGCCUCUUUCCGACCCGUCUUGAAACACGGACCAAGGAGUCUAACGUGCGCGCGAGUCGCGGGGUACUCGAGUCGUUAGUUUUUUUUCGUUUUUUUUUUUAAAAGUGGAAAAAGACGACGCGAUUCGUUACACGAACGAAACCCGUUAUACGUACGUUGUGCGAAGGCGUAAUGAAAGUGAGGCGACGCGUUUCGGCGCGUCGCCGGGGAAGACGGUGCUAUUUCCGUGUACACGUUCCUCGGUCGCACCGUGUAACCGAGGCCGGACACCCGCAUUCCCAGGGCGUCCCGUCCGUCCGUCGAUGGCGCGGACGUGCGUUCGCGUACGUCGGCCGUCGACGAACUGGGGCGCACCUAUAGCGUGCACGUUGGUACCCGAAAGAUGGUGAACUAUGCCCGGCCAGGAUGAAGUCAGGGGAAACCCUGAUGGAGGUCCGCAGCGAUUCUGACGUGCAAAUCGAUCGU